UUGCUAAGCUGGACUCGUCACCGCACAUGUUGUUUUGGGUCUUUUGAACUCCAACACAAACGAGUGAGGGCUCAAAGCAUUGGACACCAAGAAUGGGGGUCUGGGAAGAUGGCUGCGGUGGAGGUUUCCAGUAGAGAGGACAGAGCCGUCCAAAGCAGGAAGACAAUGAGGCAAGCCACCACAGCCCAGUAAGAGUAAAUCCAGGUCUGAGCACGUGAGUCCGUGGGCAGAAUGCUUGCCUGGCAGACACAGACCCCAGCUUCAUCUCCAGUGCCUCAUAUACCCUGUUCAGAGGUACAGGUGGAAACGGGAGAACCAGAAGGUGGAAGCCAUCCUUAGUUACAUAGUGUGGGAUAUGGGGCUGCUUCAGACUGACUG